UAAAGAUUCAUCGCUGAUAGAUAGGCAUGCGUUCCAUUAGGCAGUUGGCGGGGUAACGGCCCACCAAACCGACGAUGGAUAGGGGUUCUGAGAGGAAGGUCCCCCACAUUGGUACUGAGACACGGACCAAACUCCUACGGGAGGCAGCAGUGAGGAAUAUUGGUCAAUGGGCGUAAGCCUGAACCAGCCAAGUCGCGUGAGGGAUGAAGGUUCUAUGGAUCGUAAACCUCUUUUAUAAGGGAAUAAAGUGCGGGACGUGUCCCGUUUUGUAUGUACCUUAUGAAUAAGGAUCGGCUAACUCCGUGCCAGCAGCCGCGGUAAUACGGAGGAUCCGAGCGUUAUCCGGAUUUAUUGGGUUUAAAGGGUGCGUAGGCGGCCUUUUAAGUCAGCGGUGAAAGUCUGUGGCUCAACCAUAGAAUUGCCGUUGAAACUGGGAGGCUUGAGUAUGUUUGAGGCAGGCGGAAUGCGUGGUGUAGCGGUGAAAUGCUUAGAUAUCACGCAGAACCCCGAUUGCGAAGGCAGCCUGCCAAGCCAUGACUGACGCUGAUGCACGAAAGCGUGGGGAUCAAACAGGAUUAGAUACCCUGGUAGUCCACGCAG
rnacentral:rRNA from 1 species